rnacentral:rRNA from 1 species
GAUGAACGUUGGCGGCGUGCCUAAUACAUGCAAGUCGAGCGAACGGACGAGAAGCUUGCUUCUCUGAUGUUAGCGGCGGACGGGUGAGUAACACGUGGAUAACCUACCUAUAAGACUGGGAUAACUUCGGGAAACCGGAGCUAAUACCGGAUGAUAUUUUGAACCGCAUGGUUCAAAAGUGAAAGACGGUCUUGCUGUCACUUAUAGAUGGAUCCGCGCUGCAUUAGCUAGUUGGUAAGGUAACGGCUUACCAAGGCAACGAUGCAUAGCCGACCUGAGAGGGUGAUCGGCCACACUGGAACUGAGACACGGUCCAGACUCCUACGGGAGGCAGCAGUAGGGAAUCUUCCGCAAUGGGCGAAAGCCUGACGGAGCAACGCCGCGUGAGUGAUGAGGGUCUUCGGAUCGUAAAACUCUGUUAUUAGGGAAGAACAUAUGUGUAAGUAACUGUGCACAUCUUGACGGUACCUAAUCAGAAAGCCACGGCUAACUACGUG